rnacentral:misc_RNA from 1 species
AAAGUGCGACAAGUGUCACGACUUGAACCCCUGGAGAGCUGACAAAUUUCUGAAUGCAAAUUGCGGCCAAGUAAAACCUGGCCAUGUAUUGCAGAGUGUAUCAUGCUUAAGCACUUCAUCCCACACAUUUCAUUCGUGAUGUGCUUGGGGACAUGUGAUUGCGUGAAAUACCUUUACAAACCACCGCAAUCGUCAAGUAUAGGAAACCCACGGGUUUACCUUGGAGCACAUUUUGUGUGUGCAGAAGAUGGAAAUGUCCGUGAGCGAAGUAUACUUCGCACAUGAGUUAGCAUUUUUCAAGCAUACCUCUGCAAUGCAGGAGAACCCGCUGAACUUAA